rfam:Erinaceus europaeus unplaced genomic scaffold scaffold00344, whole genome shotgun sequence
GUCUACGGCCACACCACCCUGAACACGCCCGAUUUCGUCAGAUCUCGGAAGCUAAGCAGGGUCGGUCCUGCUCAGUACUUGGAUGGGAGACCAGAUACCCACUGCUAACUACAGAUGUUUCAAACA